UCUAGUGUCAUGUCAGGGUUGCAUUACACGCUCUCCAGCAGCACGCACCCCCAGUAUCCUGCCCACGUGCGCUCGCUGCUACUGCUCUUCGCCCCCAUUGUUAUUGUAAUGCUUGAAGUCAUGAGUAAUACGCGGCAAGCAAGGGUGUCCUGACGUUUGUAUUGGUAUUCAGGGCACAUUGAAGUGAAGGUCAAAGUGUGAUUGUUGGCAGAAAAACAAUUACAGGUAGACAAGCGAGACAAUGAAAGGUGCGGCGCGGCCUUCCCUCGCUGCCGCCCGCCGAUCUCACAGUGCUGUGAUGUUGUGUCCUAGGACGUGACGGGCAGACUGCUUACUCAGCCUGUUGUCUCCCAACACUGGUGAGAGCCAUACACACACACACACACACACACACACACACACACACACACACACACACACACACACACAUGUACGGUAGCCUUGACGGCACAGAAGUAUCACGCGAACAGUUAACAGUUGUUAAAGCGAUGCCGGAUUCUCUAGGCCUUGUCAAAACAUAAAAUCGGCGACAAACAGAAGGCAACACUACACUUUAACGAGUAGGUGCAGGCAGCGCAACCCCAACGCGGCGAAAAAGUAGAAAUAAUAGCGAGCUCAAGGGAAGCAGGAAGCGGCCUCAACAGCAGAGUACGAGUAUAGGCCCCGCGCUGGGGGUCAGUGGCCUCCAGCCAGCCGGGGCUCCACGCACAGGCACCUAAUGUGCCUCUACACACAUCUGCAAAACACGUGUCCCCGCCCCUCUACGGCUGGCAGAAAUCAGUUGCUUUAAUUUUUUUUAACGACUUUUACGUGCCAUUUAUAACGAGAGAACAAAGAGACAUUAGAGUGAUGAUGUAUGACGCCAGGCAGGCGAGACCUACAAGGUCUGGGUACGCGUCCGAAGGCCGGCCAGUGUUAGGACAGGAGCCAACGAUCGAAGGUUUAAAGCAACCUGGUGCUCGCCUGCCAUGCACGAUAUGAAUCAAGCACAGUGGCUCAGUCGUGAGUCGGACACGCCGGAGGACUGAGCUGUAAAGCACGCAAGCACCAGGGAAAAGCUUAUUGUUUACUGCUUGGAUGUGACCGUCUUGAAAUACUAUAUGUGCCUGGAUCACCUGGAACUGUAUAUAUAGAAAUGCAAGCACAAGAAACACGGAAAUGCACAUGGUGCGCAUCAGGCAGAAGAGAGCGGUGCAAGAGAGGGGGUGGGGGGAGGAGCGUGCAUGCAGACGUCAAGCACAGCUCUUGCUUGCCAGUGCACCUUGGGAGCCAACACGGUCCACAUGACUCUCAUGGCGGAAUAUUAACAAAAGGAAGCACAAGAAUAACAUUACUAGAAAACCGCCGAAAUGUUGCCGCCAGUCUUUAGCAGAGAGUAUCGUGGAGGCAACACGACGACAGUAUCUCUGAUUGACGGCAGGCAGCGGCCGCCGCAGUACUGGAGUACCUCUGGGGCGGCUUGUUGCGUAGUAGCCACCUCCACCUUCUACGGCUUCAUUUUGUUCUCAAGUCCUUUAAAGCAUUGUGAGUUGUGCUUACAAAGUUGUUGGAAAAAACAAAAGAAAACAAGGAUUAAAUGUAGCUUUCUUUGUGCUUUGAUCAAUAAGAUAUCUAAGUGUUUCUGCUCAGUUUGGUGCAUCGCUUCUAGUGUCAGUGUCAGAUGGUGGUGAGCAGUGUGGACAGUGAGAGGGAGAUGGCAAGUGUCCUGAAAAAAAAAAAAAAAAUACUAAAAAAUGCGGCGCUUGCAGUGCGGGUGAGUGCGGCGGUGAGUGCGGGCGGAGUGCAGUGUUAGUGUUGUGGCGGCGGUGCUCCAGUGUGCCAGGAUUAGUGCUCAAGUCACAGUGCGUCACACAGUGCGUGAAUAAAAUGUAGUGACGAAAGUACCAGUCAGUUAUGGAUAACAAAUUGCAAUAUUUGUGUGUAUUCUUGAAAAUGUAAUGAUUUAGUGUGGUUUAGUGUUUUUUUCUUUCAGUCAAGUGGAAUUCAGUGAUUACAGCUAUUACAGUAUAAUGCAAAGAAUUACUAGGAAGAAAAAAUAAAAAAGUAAAUUAUAUCAGUAAGUGAUGAGUGUCGUGAUGUGGGCGAUUUGUGAAAGAAGGAGGUAUUGUUUCCCUAGCUUUUAUGAGUUCUGACUUGUGGCACAAUAAUGUAACGAUGGCCUGUAUAAUCUUCAAUGUUGGUACAUAAAAAAAAAUAUAUAAAAUAAUAAUUAAAAAGAGUUAUCAGUAUGGUGAAGUGAUCACAUGCGUGAAUCAUGAAAGAAUUAUGAUAAAUAGUGAGUUUUCCAUGUUUACGAUUUGCAUCUUCUGUGGCUUGUGGAACACUCAGCCACGCAGUCAACAACAGCGAGGCUGAGGAGGAUUAGUACAUCGCUGGUGGAGGGCAGGCUGUAUACAGGUGAUAAUUACCACAGCCUGCCUGCAACCUGCCAGCCCCUGGGUGCAGGUUGGCCAGGCUUACUACAGCGAUACACACACUCAUGGAUUACAGCAAGUACAGUGCAGAGAUCACCAGCACAGCAGCAAACAUGGAGAGGAGUUUUACCAUCCAGCCAUUGAGGAAGUGCAGCGGCCCAAUGAAUGAAUGAAUGAACCAAACAAGUUUUUGCCAGCACGAGAAGGCAUUUCCUGUGAUAUGAAUGUGCUUAAUGAUAAAUAAAGAUUAUUGGAGUAAGUAUAACAUGAUCCUUGCCGGAUGACGAUCCCCUGAGUUCAUCCCAAACACAAACACAUACACAUGACAUUAGAUAUUAGCAAAUUAAUUACCAUUCCAGCUCGUCGCCUCAUGAAGAGUCUGUCUGCACCAGCACCGCCCGCCGCCCCUUCGCUGGAAAACUGCAUCCCGACUACCCAACUACAAAGCGUUUUGUGUUGCGCCCGCGAUUAUUAUUAUUAUUAUUAUUAUUAUUAUUAUUAUUAUUAUUAUUAUUAUUAUUAUUAUUAUUAUCAUUAUUAUUAUCAUCAUCAUCAUUAUUAUUAUUAUUAUAACAAUUACUAUUAUUAUUAUUAUUAACAUUAUUAAGCAUUAUCGUUAUUACCAGUAUCACUGAUAUUUCUCAUAUUAUUAGAAUUUUAUAUUAAUAUCAUUGCUGUCUCCUUUAUAUAACUUGCAAUUGGCAAUAUCGGAAUACUCAUACGAAUGAACUUUAUGCUGUAUAUUAGGAAUAAAAAAUCCGAUAUUCUGUAUUCCUACGGCUUCAAGGCAAGAGAUGCUGAGCAUCUUCAUUACUUUAAGAAGCCACAAACUGAUAAGCACAAUCUUUUGACAUCAAUGUAAUCACGACCGAUCUUAUCAUGAAAACUGUGACACAGCAGCCGACACCAUGAUGCUUUAUCCAGUGUCUUCCUCCGGCGGCCGCGACCUGCGGUGUGGUUUUCCUUCGUGUUGAGGGAGUCAUCCAUCGCUGUGGUGAUGACAGUGCCAGUGUGCGUCACUCUCUGUCUGGGAGACCAGCAUGAUGAUUUAGGCAUAGUGACACAAACUUUAGGAUGCUGUUCGUGGCUCCACACACACACACACACACACACACACACACACACACACACACACACACACACACACACACACACAUACAGUCAUUUUGCGAAAGCAUCGAUGAAGCUGUUCAAUUAGACAAGACCGUGAUUAUCCAAUACAAGCAUUCCGACAAAAAUGUCUUCCCUACACAAAGAAGACAACUUAUGGCCGUUUAGAAAAUUUCAGGAAAUAAAAAAAUGACCUAAGAAGCAAUGCAACGAACGCCAAGGACAGAUACAACGAUGAAACAGUGCUAAUAUUCUGACAACCAUUUUUGCCAAGAACAAGAACAUAACAAGAACUUCGGGAAAUUGUAAGGAAAAAAGAGAACAGAUACAACUGACGUCAGGACGAGUAGCAAGAGCAUCUACAUCACUGCACGGAAGCCGCCAGUAACUUUGUUCUGCGUCACUAUAACUUAGUCACCUUUGGACGGAUCCUCAUAUUGAACAAAAGAAAGAUUUGACUGAACGAGGAAUGAGCAAUCGUGUGUGUGUGUGUGUGUGUGUGUGUGUGUGUGUGUGUGUGUGUGUGUGUGUGUGUGUGUGUGUGUGUGUGUGUGGUGCAUCUAGUAGCAUUAAAGACACGAUCACAACGCCACCAGAUUAAGACAUCACUGACCAUCGCUGGGUUAGAGAAAAAGAAUCUGGUACUGUCUAAUGUGUACAGUUUUUCCCUCCUCAUCAGUGACAAUUUGGAUAUAAUUUACCUCUAUACAUACAACAAGCACGCCAACGCCACUGCGCACCGGGAGAUAACUGGAAUGUGUCGGAAAAAAAAAAAAAACGGUAUCUCGUGUUUGGUUUUUUGCUGCGCCAGACGCCUUGCCAACAUGUUUAUGGUUUCCUGCAUCAGCUCACUCAUUGACACCGCUCAUGCAGGAAGGUAAGUACAAUGGAAACACGUGAGGCUGCAGGUAUGACACACCGACACCUUACUAGCACAGGAUACCUGACUGCUGCUGCUGCUGCUGCCAAAAUUUUACAAUUUUUUUCAAAAGUGUAUUCAUGUGUCUUGUGUCGGGCGUGUGCUUAAACUCAGUGCACAUUUCCAUAUUCGUUUCCCUUAUAUUCCCUGGGCAAUAUUUAUCAUUUUAAUAGCUGCUCUUGCGGCUCUGACGGCGCUGUCAAUGGGAACAUCACUGUUAAUGCUACGUCCAUCCGUAAGCCACAAAAUCAUAUAUAAUGUACACAUCUAUUUUUUUGUGGUUCAUUACAUUACGUAAUCCCACAGUUCUGCUAGGAUAGAGAAGUUUAUAAAUCACAGGAAAAUCUCCUAGCGUUUGUGAUGCAGAAUCGCGCAGCAAGAGGCCAAAAAUAUGGUUUUUAUGUGGUAGAUUUGGGUUUUUACUUAAUAACGAUACUAAAAAGCUGUUAUGUGCACUUGAUAUAAUAUGCAGACUAACAAAUACAAUUUU